UGGGGAAUAUUGCACAAUGGAGGGAACUCUGAUGCAGCGACGCCGCGUGAGUGAUGAAGGAAUUCGUUUCGUAAAACUCUGUUCUAUGGGAAGAAAAGGACUGUACCAUAGGAGAAAGCUCCGGCUAAAUACGUGCCAGCAGCCGCGGUAAUACGUAUGGAGCGAGCGUUGUCCGGAAUUAUUGGGCGUAAAGGGUGCGCAGGCGGCUUUACAAGUUGGAUGUGAAAUAUUGUGGCUCAACCACAAACGUGCAUCCAAAACUGCAAAGCUUGAGUUAAGGAGAGGUAGGUUGAAUUCCUGGUGUAGCGGUGGAAUGCGUAGAUAUCAGGAGGAAUACCGGUGGCGAAGGCGACUUGCUGGACUUAAACUGACGCUCAGGCACGAAAGCGUGGGGAGCAAACAGG
rnacentral:rRNA from 1 species